rnacentral:misc_RNA from 1 species
GAUUAAGAACGUAGCGAAAUGCGAUAAGUAAUGUGAAUUGCAGAAUUCAGUGAAUCAUCGAAUCUUUGAACGCACAUUGCGCCCGCCAGUAUUCUGGCGGGCAUGCCUGUUCGAGCGUCAUUACAACCCUCAGGCCCCCGGGCCUGGCGUUGGGGAUCGGCGGAAGCCCCCUGCGGGCACAACGCCGUCCCCCAAAUACAGUGGCGGUCCCGCCGCAGCUUCCAUUGCGUAGUAGCUAACACCUCGCAACUGGAGAGCGGCGCGGCCACGCCGUAAAACACCCAACUUCUGAAUGUUGACCUCGAAUCAGGUAGGAAUACCCGCUGAACUUAAGCAUAUCAAUAAGCGGAGGA